rnacentral:tRNA from 1 species
UGCGGCCAUGGUGGAACUGGUAGACACGCCAGCUUGAGGUGCUGGUGCCGAGAGGCAUGGAAGUUCAAGUCUUCUUGGCCGCAACCA